GUAUUUACAACUGGUUAAGCUCCAGUGGUCUGACUCAAAAUCUUGUUUCCGUAAGGAAGUGUCGGUUCGACCCCGACCGGGGGCACCA
rnacentral:tRNA from 1 species